CACCAGUUGCAUCAUUCACCAGUUGCAUCAUCGUGGGCUAACGUAGCUUCAAAGUGAGCAAUGGCGUACAAUCCGUAUGUCCGAUAAAAGUUGUGUACAGUGGGCCCAAUGGGUAAUGAAAUUAAGGAAAUUUCUUAACUUUCCAUAUAAACUAUGGAUAUUUACUAACCGCUGGCCAAUGGAAAGACCCUCAAUGACGCCAGAUGAGAGGCAGCAUAUGUGCGCUGUUGUCACAGAGGCUGGCUUAGACUCCGCUGAUUUAGAUGAAGAGGACUUGCAGUUACUGUGGACAGCUAAGUUCCGCACCGCUGCGCGCCUGCGUGCAGCUAGACGGGAAGAUCUCCUUGAUGCGCACCUGGCGCCUGGCGUGGUGGUCGGCAUUCUGCAGGCCUUAGGUACAUUCUAAGCGUGGUUCCUGUGCCACCAACUGGGUCAUCCUUUGCCGAGGAGCCUGUGUUGCAUAGACUCCAGCUCNNNNNNNNNNNNNNNNNNNNNNNNNNNNNNNNNNNNNNNNNNNNNNNNNNAGACCAUGGUAGAGCAGCAGGGCCAGGAGCUUGGAUUCCCUGGCGUGUGGUGGCAAGGGGAAAGUGGCACUGAGUUUGAAGUUUCAGAUUAAUACGGGUGAGAGACAUGCUGGCUAUGUGAACAUGAUUGGAGAGGGUGUCAUUGCCUGGCAUAUUGCAGUGCACAGAAGGGGCCCGUGAGCCGCCUGAUAACCUCACGAGUAGCUUCUAUGUAUGUGUCAUCCUGAGGGUGAUGGGUGGUGGUGGUCGGUUUACAGAAAUAAGUGGACUAGCAUGCAGCACAGUUCUACUUUGCAUUGUGAUGAAGGCCCUCAGUGCACCAUUACUUCCUAUAACCCAAACCCUAUCACAGCCUCUAUUUCGUACAUUGUUCAUGCACCCUUCAAGUUUCUGAGGAUGGUGAGGGGGAAGGGGACAGAGGACUGUCACACAGGCCCCUCCUUAAGGUCAUGAAACACACCUCCUCUCUGGCACCCCUUCCCCCCUUUCCUUCCCGCUGCUGCUGCUGCUGCUGUUGAGAUUCCGCCGAUAUCCGGCUCUCCUCACCUGGAGUUGGGCUCUCAACUGUAUGACUCCGAAUGGCUCGCAUGGACGCUGCUAUCUGGAUGCAGGUCUUCUUGACCCUGCUCCUCUGCCCUACCCGCACCCGCACCCCACACCUCGGACCCCCGUGACGUGUAGGCGGUUGAACCCCCUUGUUGCCCUUGCCUCAUCAUCAUCAUCAUCACCAUCAUCACCGUCAUCAGCAUCACCAGCAUCACCAGCUUCACCAGCAUCAGCAUCACCAUCACCAGCAUCAUCACCAGCAUCAUUACCAUUACCAUUACCAGCAGCAGCAGCAUCACUAUCACCAGCAUCACCAGCAUCACCAGCAUCACCACCACCAGCAUCACUAUCACCAGCAUCACCAUCACCAGCAUCACCAUCACCAGCAUCACCAUCACCAGCAUCACCAUCACCAGCAUCAUCACCAGCAUCAUUACCAUUACCAUCACCAGCAUCAUCACCAUCACCAGCAUCAUCAUCAUUACCAUCACCAUCAUCACCAUUCAUCGUCACCAGCAUCGUCGUCGUCAUUGUCCUGUGACGACCUCCCACCCCCCACCCUCCUCAGACUGGCACUUGAGGUCCAGUCCUGGUAUCGGCAGCAGCUGGAGGCCCGACCCGUCAGGUUCAUGGAGAUAGUGGCAAUGAAGGGUAGGGCCGCGUGUGUAUGUAUGUAUGACUUAGAUUACACUGUGGGCUGCGAGAGCCGCGGGCCAAAGCCGAAACACAACGCAAGGGUCAGGAGCAC
rnacentral:lncRNA from 1 species